UACCAACCAAGUGGCAGAAUGACGCCUGAGAUGAAUCAGCCCAAGAAUUACUGAUAUUGAUGAAUUCACAAAACCUCUGCUUCUUCUUCAGGGGACAAGAUUUCCCAGUCACUUUCCCAGCAUCAUCUGGUCAAAGUUCAUUUGAGAUGCAGACUUCUAACAGCUGGAUUUUGAUUUCCACCUCGUCUGAGAUGUUGAGGAGAAAGUGAAGUGGAGUCCAAGCCUGAUGCACUAUGAAGAAGACCUUGUACCUGUCCUCUCCUUUCUCUAGGUUAAUAUCAGCAUAGCCUCAACUAUCGCAGCUCUUCAAUUUGUGGUGCUCUACGUGAAGCAAGCAUACCAGCUGCAACAGGGAAUUCUUUGCCAUUUUUCCUGGCAAAUCUAGGAAGUGUGUUUUCCUCUGAGCAUCUCCCCCACCUCCCUCUUUUUUUUUUUAAAGUGUGACUAUUUCUGGAGAAGUUACAUCAUCCUCUCCUGACCCAUCCCUUUUGUCUUGUAUAUGUUUAAAUGAUUACUUAUCGUUACUGAGUCAUUCUCCCCCAUGGAAGUCUCUCCCUGGCUGCAUGGCCUUAGAUGUCUCUGGACCUCCAGAGAACAGUGCUGCUGAGUUCACUGACGCAUUCACUUACUAAAUGGGCCUCUGGAGCUCCAGCCAGAGCAGCUUAAGAAAUGGCGCCCCUGAGAACUCAAAGAGUUAAAGCUGCUUCCAAAGGCUUCUGGUUUAUAUGGAGGGAGUCGCUCUGCCUGGGGCUAGCUUGGCUCAUCAGGCAGAAACAAUGCACUUGGCAUUAACUAGAACACAGAAUGGGACCGUGGUGAGCAAAAGGCAGAAUUUAAUAGGCAUAGUUUGCUUUCAGAGGCGUACACCUGGGGGGCAUAAAAUAAAAAGAACAGGCUGCUGGAGGCCCUUAGAGAAACCUCCUCCAAGUCUCCUCAUUUUCCUGGUGCAAAAACUGAGGUCCAAAGUGGCAAAGCCACGCCAAGAGGGACCAGAACUCAGGUCUCCUGACCUUCUGGCCCAGGCUUUCUGUUCUGCCAGGCUCUCAGUUUCCACUCUAAUAUUAUCAUUAUUUUCCCCCCACUCUCCUCCCCUUUUCUUCCUCUCUCCCACCCAAGGUGGGUGGCUCGAGCUUCAGAUCAUGGAUAGAGGGGAAAUCCUGUUAUACUUUAAGUAG
rnacentral:lncRNA from 1 species